GAUGAACGCUAGCGGCAGGCCUAACACAUGCAAGUCGAGGGGCAGCACAGAAACAGCAAUGUUUUGGUGGCGACCGGCGGACGGGUGCGUAACGCGUAUGCAACCUACCUUUAACAGGGGGAUAACGAAGAGAAAUUUCCACUAAUACCCCAUAACAUCGAUCAAGGCAUCUUGAUUGGUUGAAAACUCUGGUGGUUAAAGAUGGGCAUGCGUUGUAUUAGGUAGUUGGUGAGGUAAUGGCUCACCAAGCCUACGAUACAUAGGGGACUGAGAGGUUAGCCCCCCACACUGGUACUGAGACACGGACCAGACUCCUACGGGAGGCAGCAGUGAGGAAUAUUGGUCAAUGGGGGCAACCCUGAACCAGCCAUGCCGCGUGCAGGAAGACGGCUCUAUGAGUUGUAAACUGCUUUUAAACAGGGAUAAAGCACAGCAUGUAUACUGUGUUGAAGGUACUGUAAGAAUAAGGAUCGGCUAACUCCGUGCCAGCAGCCGCCGUAA
rnacentral:rRNA from 1 species